CCAAUAGCGUAUAUUAAAGUUGUUGCAGUUAAAAAGCUCGUAGUUGAAUUUCGGGAUUGACACAUCGGUCGUGCCUUAAGGGGUAUGAACUGGUGUAGUCAAUUUCUCACCUUCUGGAGAACCGCGAUGCCCUUAAUUGGGUGUCACGGGGAACCAGGACCUUUACUUUGAAAAAAUUAGAGUGUUUAAAGCAGGCAUUUUGCUUGAAUACAUUAGCAUGGAAUAAUAAAAUAGGACGGCAUGAUUCUAUUUUGUUGGUUUCUAGGAUCACCGUAAUGAUUAAUAGGGAUAGUUGGGGGCAUUAGUAUUCAAUUGUCAGAGGUGAAAUUCUUGGAUUUAUUGAAGACUAACUACUGCGAAAGCAUUUGCCAAGGAUGUUUUCAUUAAUCAAGAACGAAAGUUAGGGGAUCGAAGACGAUCAGAUACCGUCGUAGUCUUAACCAUAAACUAUGCCGACUAGGAAUCAGACGACGUUAAUUUUUUAAUGACUCGUUUGGCACCUUACG
rnacentral:rRNA from 1 species